rnacentral:rRNA from 1 species
UGGGGAAUAUUGCACAAUGGGCGAAAGCCUGAUGCAGCGACGCCGCGUGAGGGAUGACGGCCUUCGGGUUGUAAACCUCUUUCAGCAGGGACGAAGCGCAAGUGACGGUACCUGCAGAAGAAGCACCGGCUAACUACGUGCCAGCAGCCGCGGUAAUACGUAGGGUGCAAGCGUUGUCCGGAAUUACUGGGCGUAAAGAGUUCGUAGGCGGUUUGUCGCGUCGUUUGUGAAAACCAGCAGCUCAACUGCUGGCUUGCAGGCGAUACGGGCAGACUAGAGUACUGCAGGGGAGACUGGAAUUCCUGGUGUGGCGGUGAAAUGCGCAGAUAUCAGGAGGAACACCGGUGGCGAAGGCGGGUCUCUGGGCAGUAACUGACGCUGAGGAACGAAAGCGUGGGUAGCGAACAGG